rnacentral:rRNA from 1 species
CGGUNUGAACUCAGAUCACGUAAGANUUUAAAAGUCGANCAGACUUAAAUUUUGAACUUCUACACCCAAAAUUAUUUCUUAAUCCAACAUCGAGGUCGCAAUCUUUUUUAUCGAUAAGAACUCUCCAAAAAAAUUACGCUGUUAUCCCUAAAGUAACUUAAUUUUUUAAUCAAUAAUAAUGGAUCAAUUAUUCAUAAAUCAAUGUUAUUUAAAAUUAAAAGUUUUUUAAAUUUUAAUAUCACCCCAAUAAAAUAUUUAUAUAAAUUAUAAUAAAAUUUAUCUAUAAAAUUAAAAUAAAUAUAAAUAUAAAGAUUUAUAGGGUCUUCUCGUCUUUUAAUUAAAUUUUAGCUUUUUUACUAAAAAAUAAAAUUCUAUUUUAAAUUUUUAUGAAACAGUUAAAAUCUCGUCCAACCAUUCAUUCCAGCCUUCAAUUAAAAGACUAAUGAUUAUGCUACCUUUGCACAGUUAAUAUACUGCGGCCAUUUAAAUUUCAGUGG